UGAACAUCAUUGAUUAUUUUAAAAAGAACUUCAAUAAAUACAUAUUUUUCAAAAAUUAUUUUAGAAAGAAUUGCAAUUUAUAUAUUAGGAAGUUUUAAAGGGCAAUCGAAUGAAUAGGAAAGCUUAAUCCGAGGUGCUUUUUGGGAACAUUGAAUUCCUCACGAUCACUCAAGUGCUUAAUAUUUUUAAAUGUAAAAUAAUUAAACUGAAAUCUUAAGAAAACAAAUAAAUUUUCGUAUGUAAACCCUGUUAUAUUUUUUAAAAUAAAUUAUUUUUUAGGCAGACACUGUUGGAACUUGCUUCUAUGAAAUUGAUUUCUCCUAAAACUUAUUUAUCACUAUGCCACUGAUAGUAAUAUGAGUUGCCCUUCACGAUUGGAAAACUUAUGGUGAAAUGAGGAGCUUAGCUUUAUAUAAGUAUCGCUUAGAAGCUGUCAUUGCCCACCUUUCUAGUCAAAAUUUAGAACAGGUUUGUUUUAAAAUUUCAACAUUUUUUAUGCUUAAAUCGUUAUUUUAGGGUUUAGAUGUUCUUGAAAUUAUGAGGAAUACUCAUUUAAAAUUUGUAUCCAAACUCUCUCUCUACCGCUACGAUUUCUAUAAUCAGGUGAAGCUUCUUCACUAUUUCAAUGUACACAUUAUUUAAUCAUUUCAUUAUUCAUCUUAAUCUUGAAUUAAUGUAACAUUUUCUUAAGAGUUAUAGUCAUCAUUAUAACUCUAUUUUACAUAUUUUAUUUUAUAUCCGUCGUUUAACAGCCGACCCAAUUUUCUGUUUAUGACUGCUAAUGUUCAACUCCAUAGCAUUGUAAUUUUAAACCAAUGCAGAAGACAAGGAAACUCCUAGAUCAGUACCCACAGAGGUAUUGAUUUGUUAAGGGAACACAGUAUUAUUCCAUAUGUGUACUUGAAUAUUGUAUAAUGCUUCAAAAAAGCAUACCAGAAGCAUUUCACUCAAUAAAACAUAUUGAUGAUCCAUCGAAAAA